CAACAGUUUGCUUUCUCACAACCCAUAGGGUGCUGCAAAAGGAAGUGGAGCAGAGCAGAAGGACACAACAUCCGAAAAGUCUGACCACCUAGUUGGACUUCCUCUGAGUAAUGUGGAGACUCUGGGGAAGGAACUGUUUGUGUACUUUGGAGACUUUUGUCUAAGGGUUCAUUUUGGUAUGAACGGAAGUGUGCAAAUCAAGGGGCACAGGAACAAGGCUUUCCAGAAGACAUCAGAGCCUGUGCUGACCUUGACUCUGACUGUGGAUUCAGUGUCAUUCCAUGAUUGCACUGUACAAAUUAGAUCAUCGUCUGACUGCCAUGACAAGUAUCUACAGUUCCAAAGCCUGGACAUCUGCUCCACACACUUUAGUCUGUCCCAGGCAACGAGAACUGUCAGUUGCCAUGGUGACAGGAUGCUGUGUGAUGUCCUCCUCGAUCAGUCAGUUCUACCUGGAGUGGGGAACAUCAUCAAGAAUGAGGUGGGAAUAUUGGUGUGCAGUCAUCUCCGGUUCCCUCGGGGGGAAAACAGGAUGUGUUAGACAGCACUUAUCAUCUUGAAUUUGAUACAUCACAGUUGAAGGCUAUGGAUAAUUAUUCUAGUAGCUGCUGCAUCAGUUACCAGCCUUCCAUUGAGUGUAAAUGACUGAAAAUAACUCUUGAUAAUGACUUCAGCACUUCAUCACGGAUGUAUGAGGAGUAUUAAGAGGCUUCUUCCUCAUGUGAAGUAGCUGUCAGGUGGUUCUAUGUGAAGGUGAAAAUGCACAAAGAUUCCUUAGGUUAAGUUUCACAUUGCAAAUUUACCAUUCAUUCAUGCACAAAAGCCAUGAUAUUGUUAAUGAAUAUUUUGAUAAAUGUUUCAUUUUGGUAAUUUUUUCUGAAGCCCAAAUCUAUCCAAAAUGAUUUGAACAAAUGUUACGCAAACCUAUAUAGCUGGCCACCUUAGAUGAUCAAUAUGCAAAGUGACAUGCUAUGUAUUGUCCAGCCUGUAAAUAAAUUGUGUGACCAUUUAAAAAUCUCAUGAUAUACAAAUGUACAUUAACAGUACAAUAAGGUG